rnacentral:lncRNA from 1 species
CUCUUUACGUAUGUAUGUGUGUGUGUGUGUGUUUGCUGCUGGGGGAAGGGGAGAAUGGCCCCUUAUAUAAGCCCACACUGAAAUUACACUUUUAUCUCUCAAAAACAGCACUCUGCCAAGCUGAGUGUCACGACCCGACACGACCAAUUUGGACAAUUCGAGCCCUAAACAGACCCGCCGAACGGACAGAGUUUUCCCUGUUCGCCUGAAGCGUAAAACAAAGUCUAUGCAUACAUACAUCCAAACAGGGAAUAUUAGCAACAAAACAUUUGCAAGAGUUAUACACAAAUGCAAGACAAAUAAGGCUAUCAAUUACAUCACAUUUCCGAUCUCCCCACUAGGUCUAAGCAGGCAUAAGCAGAUAGAUAGAUAGACGUCUGAAGCUGAAACUAAUGCAUAAUAAAGGAAUUGCACUAUGCUACUAUGCCUUGAGAACAUGAGUAAACAACAUAGCAAUGUAAUCACUAACAUGCUACUACAUCUCUAUCAAGCAUGAAUGCGACUCUACUAUGCUGAAUAUGCUCAAUGUGCAUAACUCUCAUAAGUUCAAUACCGAAUCCUUGACUAACCCGAAGGUUCGCCCUCGACUCACAUCUUAAAUCCCCUAGGUGAGGACCCUGUCAACCCACCCGGGACCGUCUGCGGACAACUACGUCUGUCCUUUGCAUGACCACCUCAGCAGUGCACUANUUCAUUGUACAUGCAUUCAUAUAUUUAUGAUUGGGCAUAGUAGAGUAGCUUUACUCCUGUCAUUUACCGCUUUCCUUAUCUAUCUAUCUAUCGAUUAUCUACUUGUGCCCGACUUGGACCUAGUGGGGAGAUCGGCGGAGUCGGCGGCCGAACCCACUGGGAACUAAGGAAGUUAGUUCUCACCCCCAUUUUACUACAGGGCCGAGCGCGAGUUCACACGGCGAGGAUCGCGGUAAGGGCUUAGCGCCCUAGUUGCAUUAGUCUACUUUCCUAUUUCUGCAUUAGAGUACCUUUUAUGCUUUGAGAGUAGAUGAUGUAUAGGUUGUGAGCUAUUUUGGGGUGAAUGUAAGCUUUAUAUUAUGUUUUGGAAGUUCAAUGUAUAAUCAAGUUGUAUUAUAAAGGCUGAAUGAAUGUAAUAGAUAGAUGCUCUCUCUUUAUCAUUACUUGUAUGUUCUAUACUUGUAUCUUGCUCUUGGUCGUUGUGCACUGAUUGUGCUCUCGUUGUAACUAUUGAUUGUGUAUGUAUUCAAGUGUUUUCCUGGGGACUUGUUGUACACAAUCUUGUUGUUAGCCUUGGGCGGACAGGGGAGGUGCUGUCCGUCCGGCGUCUGUUCGACGCGCCCGGGCCGAACCAAAUUGGUAGCGGUCGCGGGGCGUGACAAUG